CAGUGGGAUCAUACCAGCACUAACGCGCCGGAUCCCAUCAGAACUCCGAAGUUAAGCGUGCCUGGGCGAGAGUAGUACUAGGAUGGGUGACCCCCUUGAAAGUCCUCGUGUUCCAUCCC
rfam:Nicotiana attenuata strain TT scaffold02421, whole genome shotgun sequence.